AUUCCAGACUCCUACGGGAGGCAGCAGUGGGGAAUAUUGCACAAUGGGGGAAACCCUGAUGCAGCGACGCCGCGUGAGUGAAGAAGUACCUCGGUAUGUAAAGCUCUAUCAGCAGGGAAGAAAAUGACGGUACCUGACUAAGAAGCCCCGGCUAACUACGUGCCAGCAGCCGCGGUAAUACGUGGGGGGCAAGCGUUAUCCGGAUUUACUGGGUGUAAAGGGAGCGUAGACGGCAUGGCAAGCCAGAUGUGAAAUACCGGGGCUCAACCCCGGGACUGCAUUUGGAACUGUUAAGCUGGAGUGUCGGAGAGGCAGGCGGAAUUCCUGGUGUAGCGGUGAAAUGCGUAGAUAUCAGGAGGAACACCGGUGGCGAAGGCGGCCUGCUGGACUGCGACUGACGUUGAGGCCCGAAAGCGUGGGGAGCAAACAGGAUUAGAUACCCUGGUAAAC
rnacentral:rRNA from 1 species